ensembl:lncRNA
GGAACAACUCCACCAAGUCCUUGCAAAGGAAUGGCAUGACUGGUGCGUCAGUCUGAUACUUCGUCAGAAAGGGAGUGAACGUCCUUGAGAUGGCCAUGAAGAAUUAGUAGCUUAGGCAAGAUGAGUGGAUCUUGCUUGGCUGCUUCUAUGGUGUCAAAUGAGGCUGUUCCAGGGUUUGGAACCUUCUUUGUCCGCACUGCAUCCACGUUUUCAAUCCACCGAUGCCCACAGAAUGGUAGCGGGAAGACUGAGGAUUUGGUGAGGGCAAUGAAGUCAUCCCUCCUUGCUGGUGUGUUAUGAAAAAAGGUAGUGCAUCCCCCUCAACACCUUGGUGGAAGAGAGCGGAAUGAGGAGUUAACCGUCAUCUCUGAUGGAGAAUGACUUUUACCCACCCAUGCACACACUGAUAGCACUGGUGGGACUUCUUCACUAAAAUUGUUUAAAGGAGCAAUAUAUUGCAGGCCCAUUCCCCCUGUCAUAUCAGACUGUAAAACCAGCACCGCCC